CGAGUGGCGAACGGGUGAGUAACAUAUCGGAACGUACCGGGUAGCGGGGGAUAACUGAUCGAAAGAUCAGCUAAUACCGCAUACGUCUUGAGAGGGAAAGCAGGGGACCUUCGGGCCUUGCGCUAUCCGAGCGGCCGAUAUCUGAUUAGCUGGUUGGCGGGGUAAAGGCCCACCAAGGCGACGAUCAGUAGCGGGUCUAAGAGGAUGAUCCGCCACACUGGGACUGAGACACGGCCCAGACUCCUACGGGAGGCAGCAGGU
rnacentral:rRNA from 1 species